rnacentral:rRNA from 1 species
CAGUCGCCGCGGGAACACGUAGGGUGCGAGCGUUAAUCGGAAUUACUGGGCGUAAAGCGUGCGCAGGCGGCUGUGUAAGACAGGUGUGAAAUCCCCGGGCUUAACCUGGGAACUGCGCUUGUGACUGCACAGCUAGAGUAUGGCAGAGGGGGGUAGAAUUCCACGUGUAGCAGUGAAAUGCGUAGAUAUGUGGAGGAAUAUCGGUGGCGAAGGCAGCCCCCUGGGAUAACACUGACGCUCAUGCACGAAAGCGUGGGGAGCAAACAGGAUUAGAUACCCCCGUAGUCCCUGUCUCUUAUAC